GGUGCCUGUAAUCCUUACUCCAGUGAUGGUGGAAUCUUUAGAGCUGCUUAUCAAAGAGCGGUGCUCAUGUGGAGUGAGCGAAGGAAAUAUCUACUUAUUUGCCAGGCCAGGAUAUGAUACACAUUUUCGGGGGAAUGACUGCAUCCGCGCCUAUGCCAAACAAUGUGGUGCCAAGUUACCUGAAGCAUUGUCAUCAACUAAACUACGAAAACAGGUUGCCACCCUCUCCAGAGUGUUAAAUCUCAAUGAUACAGAACAGGACCAGUUUGCUGACUUCUUGGGUCACGACAUUCGGAUUCAUCGAAAGUUCUACCGUCUUCCAGAGGGAACGUUUCAGUUGGCCAAAAUAAGUAAAAUACUGAUGGCAUGUGAACAGGGCAGAUUGGCAGAGUUCAAGGGGAAAAGUCUGGAUCAAAUAACCAUCAGUCCCAGUGGUAAGUUUACCCCCAGUGUUUAGUUUAAUGGCAAAAAGUUUACACUGACAAUAAAAACAAAGCUUUUGUUUUGCGCAGAUUUAGCUUGCCUCAAUUUAGCAUUCUUCUUUUGGCCAUCUUUUAGAAAAAAGCAUGGCUGAAAAUAAUGAGGCUGCAGACUCUUGUUCAUCAGAGAACGACUCUGAGAGAGAGGAGUCAUCUGAAAAAUCCUAUGAAGAAAAUCUGACCGGAGAGAUGUCAGCGAUUCGGGCCAAACAGCCAAUGACCAAGGGAAAGCUGGGACAAAAGAGAGGCUCACAUGGUGCCAAAGGAACAAAAAGGUUUUGGUCGACAAUAGAGGUGGAUGCAGUUGAAGAUUCCUUGAUGAAUUUUAUCCGAAUGGGAAAAACGCCUGGAAAACAAGACUGUGAGAAAUGCAUUGCUGCUUCUGGCCAAGCGCUAGUAAACAGGGACUGGAGAGCAGUAAAGUUCUAUGUACACAACAGAAUAGUUGCAGAUCAGAGAAAAUAAGUGUAUAAGAUGCUUCUAUCUUGGUGUACCUCUGAGGAUUUAAUGGGACUUACUUGACUUAAGCUCAUAGGCAGUUGAUGAAUGUCCUCCAUCUCACUCUGUUUGGGGGAGGUUUUCCCAGGUGGGUUGUUCACUUUUGGAGUGACUAAGGUCUCAAGAAUACAAAGCCUGCUGACUUUGAAUGUUACAGAAAAAUAAAAUACAUUUUUCUAAACUAUUUAUCUGUUACUUGGAUAUAAUGACUCCAUUACUGAAAUGGUUGUUCCAGUUUAAAUACUUUACAGUAGAACUACACUACAGUAGAACUACACUACAGCCGUUGAGUUGCCAUCCGUGUUGCAUCAUUGUGGCAUUCUACAUGCAAUAUUUUCAGUCAUAAAAUAGAAUGAAUGCAUCAAAUAUCGAUGUAAUAAAUGUAUCACUCGUCACUUAAACAAUGCCACUUUAUAUAAUGUUUACAUAGCCUACAUUACUCAUCUCAUAUGUAUAUACUGUACUCUAUACCAUCUACUGCAUCUUGCCUAUGCCGUUCGGCCAUCGCUCAUUCAUAUAUUUAUAUGCACAUAUUUGUAUUCAUUCCUUUACACUUGUGUGUAAAAGGUAGUUGUGAAAUUGUUACAUUACUUGUUAGAUAUUACUUCACGGUCGGAACUAGGAGC